GGCGGGGUAGCUCAGUUGGUUAGAGCAGCGGAAUCAUAAUCCGCGUGUCGGGGGUUCAAUUCCCUCUCCCGCUACCA
rnacentral:tRNA from 1 species